GGGCCCGUAGCUCAGUCUGGCAGAGCGACUGGCUCUUAACCAGUAUGCCGUGGGUUCAAAUCCCUCCGGGCCC
rnacentral:tRNA from 1 species